rnacentral:rRNA from 1 species
GACGAACGCUGGCGGCGUGCUUAACACAUGCAAGUCGAACGGAAAGGCCCUGCUUUUGUGGGGUGCUCGAGUGGCGAACGGGUGAGUAACACGUGAGUAACCUGCCCUUGACUUUGGGAUAACUUCAGGAAACUGGGGCUAAUACCGGAUAGGAGCUCCUGCUGCAUGGUGGGGGUUGGAAAGUUUCGGCGGUUGGGUAUGGACUCGCGGCUUAUCAGCUUGUUGGUGGGGUAGUGGCUUACCAAGGCUUUGACGGGUAGCCGGCCUGAGAGGGUGACCGGCCACAUUGGGACUGAGAGACGGCCCAGACUCCUACGGGAGGCAGCAGUGGGGAAUAUUGCACAAUGGGCGGAAGCCUGAUGCAGCAACGCCGCGUGCGGGAUGACGGCCUUCGGGUUGUAAACCGCUUUCGCCUGUGACGAAGCGUGAGUGACGGUAAUGGGUAAAGAAGCACCGGCUAACUACGUG